rnacentral:rRNA from 1 species
GAUGAACGCUGGCGGCGUGCCUAAUACAUGCAAGUCGAGCGAAUGGAUUAAGAGCUUGCUCUUAUGAAGUUAGCGGCGGACGGGUGAGUAACACGUGGGUAACCUGCCCAUAAGACUGGGAUAACUCCGGGAAACCGGGGCUAAUACCGGAUAACAUUUUGAACCGCAUGGUUCGAAAUUGAAAGGCGGCUUCGGCUGUCACUUAUGGAUGGACCCGCGUCGCAUUAGCUAGUUGGUGAGGUAACGGCUCACCAAGGCAACGAUGCGUAGCCGACCUGAGAGGGUGAUCGGCCACCCUGGGACUGAGACACGGCUCAGACUCCUACGGGAGGCAGCAGUAGGGAAUCUUCCGCAAUGGACGAAAGUCUGACGGAGCAACGCCGCGUGAGUGAUGAAGGCUUUCAGGUCGUAAAACUCUGUUGUUAGGGAAGAACAAGUGCUAGUUGAAUAAGCUGGCACCUUGACGGUACCUAACCAGAAAGCCACGGCUAACUACGUGCCAGCAGCCGCCGUAA